rnacentral:lncRNA from 1 species
GGCCAACAAUACCCCAAAAGCAGCCAGUUGCAGCAUGGCAAGGAUGAAGAUUACAUGUACAUGAAGCUGAGACUUUGCAUAUUUUCCAUUGCCCUGAUGAUAUCUAAGUGCGUGUGCUGUAUCCUUCUCCAAAUGUGUUUGAAGCUGCUUUUAUUAGUAUUUUCUCAUCUAUUCACUUUGUGUAUUUAUCUAUAUAUAAAGAUACAUGGAUUUUGAAAUUGUUCAUGUGUUUAUAUGGGUUCAAUAUAUUAAGUACUCCAACAACAACUGUGCUCAUUGGUCAGGAUGUGGACAUGAACAAAUCGGGUAAUAACUCCAACUGUUCAGAACUUCCCAUAGUGCUUACUCAAUUUACUUUAUGCUUGUCAUCAAGAUUAAUAUCAUGAAAGACAGAUUUGUUACUCGCAGAAAACAAUCCCACAGAUUUAUCCACUUGCGGUGCUCUCCACUCUAUUGGAUCAGAUCUCACACGCACAAGAGGCAAAUCUGAUGCCUACCAGAAUGGCUCUGCCUUGAGUGAUCAGACUGGCUCAAAGAGAAGGGACCAUGAAAAUACACCAUCAAGCAGAGCUGAGGUUGCUCACUCGAAAUCGUCAUUAGUCUGAAAGUUGGUUGCUGAAAAUUCUGCAGGAAUAAUUAAUAACAUAUGACAUUUUGCAGCCCGUAGCUUCUCAUGCCAACCAGAAUGGCUCUGCCUUGAGUGAUCAGACUAUCUCAAAGAGAAGGGACCAUGAAAAAACUAAUAUUUCUCUUAUGGAAACUGAAAUAUAAACCCAGUUGAAGUUGGCGGAUGUUCUUCCCGACUGUCUAUGUUGGUUUAGGAUGAGAAUGUGGAAAUCAUUUAAAGAAGAUUAGUUGUCAGCCUAUGGCUAUCUUCACUAUUGACCAGUCUUCUACUAUCUUUUACCUGUUUUUUCUUUUUGAAUUCAGUUUGCAACUUCUUUUUGUUCGACGAUUCCCAAAUCCUUCACUUAGUUCUAUUCAUUCGCAACUUGAGAUCAGUAGCAGCACUCGCAGGGUUUGAUUGGCUGAGGCCUACAGAUAAUUUUUUUUAUGCUAGUUAUUUAUCACGUCUAUCAAAAGUAUUUCUAUUUCGCCAAACACUAUUUCAUCCAUUCGAUAGCAGACAAUUCUGAGAAAAAGUAAAGGAAAGAUGGGAGAUACAAAAUCAGAUGUUGGGAAUGGAAGCAUACGACCCCAAAUCGAGGUAUAAAUUCCCAUUAUAUAAAAAUUCCUAAUUCUACUCAAAUCCCC